GAUCCAGUAUGGUGUAGUGUUUUCGUGCUGGACUAAGAUGCCAAGAACCCAGGGUUCAAAUCCCUGCUGGCCCA